rnacentral:rRNA from 1 species
CUUGCUUCUCUUGAGAGCGGCGGACGGGUGAGUAAUGCCUAGGAAUCUGCCUGGUAGUGGGGGAUAACGUUCGGAAACGGACGCUAAUACCGCAUACGUCCUACGGGAGAAAGCAGGGGACCUUCGGGCCUUGCGCUAUCAGAUGAGCCUAGGUCGGAUUAGCUAGUUGGUGGGGUAAUGGCUCACCAAGGCGACGAUCCGUAACUGGUCUGAGAGGAUGAUCAGUCACACUGGAACUGAGACACGGUCCAGACUCCUACGGGAGGCAGCAGUGGGGAAUAUUGGACAAUGGGCGAAAGCCUGAUCCAGCCAUGCCGCGUGUGUGAAGAAGGUCUUCGGAUUGUAAAGCACUUUAAGUUGGGAGGAAGGGUUGUAGAUUAAUACUCUGCAAUUUUGACGUUACCGACAGAAUAAGCACCGGCUAACUCUGUGCCAGCAGCCGCGGUAAUACAGAGGGUGCAAGCGUUAAUCGGAAUUACUGGGCGUAAAGCGCGCGUAGGUGGUUUGUUAAGUUGGAUGUGAAAUCCCCGGGCUCAACCUGGGAACUGCAUUCAAAACUGACUGACUAGAGUAUGGUAGAGGGUGGUGGAAUUUCCUGUGUAGCGGUGAAAUGCGUAGAUAUAGGAAGGAACACCAGUGGCGAAGGCGACCACCUGGACUAAUACUGACACUGAGGUGCGAAAGCGUGGGGAGCAAACAGGAUUAGAUACCCUG